UGAGAUGUGAGCAUGAUGGGACAGAGAAAAGGGGCCAGGACCAGAAGAUCUGUGGGGUGGGUGAGGGAUAUGCUGCCAAGAAUCAGGCGCAUUCACUCAGUGGAACCCAGAAGCCAGAAAGAUGCUGGAGGAUGUGCUCCAGCAAAACAAGCAGGUAAACCAAGAAAGAGGAGGACCUGGGGUGCAGGAAGCAGGGGACCUAGCCCUACAGAGAGGCCAAGAGAAGCUCCAAGAAGGAAGAGGGAGCUCCUGCCACUCGCCUGCCAUUGUGGUGCAGAACGGGGCACAGGCAGAGGCCAGCGGCAGGAAGACUCAGAAGACUGGGCAAUGUGGGUAUUUAACAAAUGGAAGAAGUCCCUGUAUGGUAGGUGCCCUGGAGGCAGAAAUCCUGGGCCUGAGGAGCCAGUGGGAGCCCGUCUCUCUUCUGCGGUCACUCUUGUCAAAUUAUGUCAGCUGGAUUUGUUCAUAGAAUAUGGCUUCCAAAAGAAUAGCAGCCACAGGUGCUGGGCUGGAGGGAAGAGAUCAUGACCCGACUAAGUGGCGGUCCUCAGGCAGUUUGGAGAAGGGAAAGAUCUUUCAAGAAUGAAAGUGAAAUAAAGCCUGAGGGAGUUCAAUGCCAUCGAAUUGAAAGGAAUUCCGCAAAAUGUAUCUCAGGGAGAAGGAAAGUGAUCUCAGCUGAAGGCUUGAGGUGGAAGAAGGAAUGAAGGAGACAGAGAGCACUUGUGAGGGUUCCUGACAAACCAGCUAAGCAAUUCCCCACUACCCGUGAAUCCUUGCAUAUCUUUACCUCAGAGCACUUCUCUGGACGCACAAAGUGGGUGACCAGGUCUGACAUGAUAUCACAAGUCAGUGGACCAGUAUGCUGCUCUGCAGAAGUUAAUACAGUCCAGCUGCUGUCCUGCAGACCAUCCUAUAGCAGAGAGCAGGAGGAUCAACACGGCCCUGGGGCAACACCCUGAAUGUUUACUUUUGUCCACCAUACGUGAAUGUGAGUUUGUCCUCCUUGUGAUGGGUGUGGAAGAGACGAAAUUUACCAGAUCCAUAGCUACAUGCCAUGUCCUGAAGCCUGUCUUAACCUGCUCUAACAAAGAAGCUCUGCAUGACGCAGUGGCUGCAACUGGGCUACUGCAUGGUCAAGUUUGUGGUAGUCCACUGCCAUCCACCAUGAUCCAUGUGAUCUUUGCAGGAAAGGGUGGUUUGUUAUACAGCAAUAGAUCAAUGAGACAACAACCAAAGCUGUCUAGAAGCACCCUCCCUGCAAUCUUGGCAGGUAGGAGUGAUCCCUCAUUUUGCCCCAUUCACGUAAGGGUCUGCAGAGCUCCAGACGUGGUAAAGCAACCACAGCUGGCUUCCCUGUGAUCCAUCAGCAGGACAGAAGGAAACUAGGGGAUGCAGUCUCCACCCAGAGUCCUAGGCUGCUGGGAGGACUCCGGCUGGGUGUGGGGUCCCUGCCCACCCCUGAGAGGGGUCUGAUACUAAGUAGCCAAGGAACACUUGCGCUGUCUUUGCUCCCCACCCCAAUCCCACAGUGCUGGCUCUGAGUUGGGUCCCGUAUUUAAUCCUGUUCUGGGGGCCUGCAGGGCUCUCCUCGAUCCUUCCCAGCUCUUAUGAACUCUCUAACAGUACCAUCAGGCCUGUAAUCCAAGUUUAAAGAUUCCUGGCCCUACAUUGGUCUUGCACAGACCUGGUGCAACGAUGGGUCAAUCUUCUGGCUUCGAUCUUCUUCCCCAGUGCCACCCUGUGCCCAGGGCCAGGGCCAGCCACCUGCCUGGGGCCAGAUGGCAGAAGGGCCACCUGUAUCUCCACCCGCCCUCAAGGUCCUGCGAGAGUGGAGUGUGCCAGCCUCUCAGUACUCUCUCAGGGCAGAGUUUGGGCCCAGUGGCAACAGACGACCUCAACUCUUGGGCUCACUGGGGUAACAAGAUGUGAGUUUCUUUCCAUUGUGUUUUAGGAACAGUGAAAGCAAAAGGCAGGCUUUCAAAGCAGAGAAGAUUCACAGGCUGUUCCAUGUCCUUGUCCCUUGCAGCAGGUGCGCAGCCUGGUCUGGGAAGGGGUGCACAGACCUCAGGGUUCCUAGCCUAGUGCAGUGGACAAGCAGCCCUUUCUUGCUGACUGCUCCUCAUGAGAAGGGAAAAUCGGCCUCUCUGAUGGGGAUCCUCCCAAGGAGCUGUGAACACAACCGCACUUCCUGUGGGAAGCUUCUUGCACACAUUUCUAGUCUCCAGCAGCAAAGGACCCACACUCUGUGUUCCAAAAUCUUCUUUGGAGCAAGCCCCAAGACCCAAUGUUGACUGCCAGAGAAGCAGGACCCUAAACAACACUUGGCAGAGGUUCUUGCCACUAAGACCCCCUUCCCUUCCGGAAAGAACACCAAGAUCUUAUGAAAUAGGGUGCCCAGGAAGGCUGGGUUAAAAACCAAUUUCCUGCUGGUAUUUCAUAAGCAAGAUUUUCAGACUUCACAUAAUGCCGUGGAAGUUUGGUUCUCAGCCUGGUGCUGGAGCACCCAGCCAUGUGCUGAGCAUUCUCCUCGAAGGUGGGACUCCAGUCUCUGUGUGCUCUCUGAAAUGUGGCUUCUGCAGUGUCCCUGGCCAUACUCCAUUCUUUAAUGUGAAUUAGUUGUCAGGUAAUAAAUACUUACUAAUCAAUGGCUUCAAGCCACCAGGGCGUAAGCCAGGCCAGAUGCCAACAUAACACAUAACACCAAGCAGUGAGGGGGUCAUGGCUUUGGUCUGGAGUGAUGGUUUUAGUUGCAGGAGUAGCUGACUACUUCUUCCAGAUGCAAAAUCUUGAUCACAUCCCCACAAUGUGGCCCAACUGGGGAAAACAAUGAAGGUAGAGGCUGCUUCCUGUGGGUCACAGAAUCUGUGGGUGACAGAGGGCAGGAACCUCUUCCUGCAGCUUGUUCUUUAUUGGUUGAAUUACACACCAAACCUCCUCCACACCCCUUGGCUUCUCCAGCAAAUGGAUGCCUCUGGGCUUGCUCAGUCGAGGUUCAGCCAAGUCCAGCUGUCUGGCUCUGCCACAGAAUACGAUGUCAUCAUCUCCAAAUUGGACAAGAGAGACUGAAGCCCAGAAAGCAAAUGACUUGCCUAAGAUCAUAGGGCUUAUUAGUGACAGGUCAGGACCCACCAGCUAUUCCCUGGCCCUGCACUUGGUCCUCUGCUCCAUUGAGGACAUAUUUAAAAUACGUCCAUAUUUAAAAAGAAUAGGUUCCUUG
rnacentral:lncRNA from 1 species